UACGGAGGAUGCAAGCGUUAUCCGGAAUGAUUGGGCGUAAAGCGUCCGCAGGUGGCAAUGUAAGUCUGCUGUCAAAGCGUCUGGCUCAACCAGAUAAAGGCAGUGGAAACUACAUAGCUAGAGUAAGGUAGGGGUAGAGGGAAUUCCUGGUGUAGAGGUGAAAUUCGUAGAUAUCAGGAGGAACACCGGUGGCGAAGGCGGUGAUCUGGGCCGACACUGACGCUGUAGAGCGAAAGCGUGGGGAGCGAACAGG
rnacentral:rRNA from 1 species